UACAGAGGGGGCUAGCGUUGUUCGGAUUUACUGGGCGUAAAGGGCGCGUAGGCGGUCAGCACAAGUCAGUUGUGAAAUCUCCGAGCUUAACUCGGAAAGGUCAACUGAUACUGUGCGACUAGAGUGCGGAAGGGGCAACUGGAAUUCUUGGUGUAGCGGUGAAAUGCGUAGAUAUCAAGAGGAACACCUGCGGCGAAGGCGGGUUGCUGGGCCGACACUGACGCUGAGGCGCGAAAGCUAGGGGAGCGAACGGG
rnacentral:rRNA from 1 species